UAAUAGCUCAGUUGGUAGAGCAUGAGACUCUUGAUCUCGGGGUUGUGGGUUCGAGCCCCAUGUUGGGCAAAA
rnacentral:tRNA from 1 species